CUUUUCUUCAAAGGAUGGGUUGGAGCGUUAAAAAAUGUUGGUGGGUUUGGGCUCGCAGGAGGCGGCGCGCGGAGGGCGAGGGCGCUUUUGCUGAGCUGUGCAGUUCGGUCCGCUGAGCCCGGCGGCCCUGCCCGCCCGCUCGUCCGCCCGCGGUCGCUAGUGUUGCCGCCGCCGCCGCCGCCGCCGCCGCUGCUGCUCCAUGGCCGCGCCCGCCCCGCGCCCCCGCCGCGUCCCGUCGCCGCCCGCCCGCGUCCCCGGUGAGCGCUGGAGUGGGGUCGGGCCCGUGUGCCUGCCUCCCGCGCCCUCUCCGAAUCCCGGACUCCUAGUGAAAGGAAGGGGGAGGGCGCGGGCGCGGAAGGGAGGUGGAUCGGAGCGGCAGCGCGGCCCAGCCGAACGGGUACCGACCGUCACCCCGCGAUCUUCCUCGCAGGGGGCGCCGGCGCCCAAGCUGCUCGCCCGGAGGGCCCAGAGCCGCUUCCCAGACCAGAGCCGGGGGAGGCGCAGCCAGUAGCGAGCCCUGAGCGACCUCUCUCCCCACUCGCCCCCCUGCCCCAGUGAAUUUCUGUCAGUUGAAGGGAGCGGGGCUCUUGCCCGGGGAAAAGGAAAACAGUUCGUGGCCUGGGAUCUGGGACCCCUUGCCGCCCCCAGCGCCCCUCCCGCUCCCCGGCGCCCUUGCGGCCCAGUGGCUCCUGCGCGCCGGAGUCCGCCGCGAAGACUGAGCGGCCGCGGGGAUCGCCGCGGGAGAAUUGGACACUUGAUGAAGGGAAGGACACGGAGAGAUGACAAACGCAGACUGGCAUGCAGUUGUUUUCAGGGUGGGAAGAACAAAGUGGAAUGUCUUCAGUUCUUACAAAAUAUGGUGGCAUUUGUAAUCUCUGAGUUUUUGUAUUUGGCCUACAAAGGGGGUCUUUUCAGGGAAACACGAAUGGAACCCUUCAGAGACAUGUCUACAUUGUAAAACAAUAUAGGAUAGAUACGGAUUCGGGAAGGUCUGCAAAUGGUUCCGCUCAAAGAACUUGGGGUAAAGUUGACCGAGGACUCGGAUUCUGAGAGGACUCCUAUCACGUUCUUCAUGAGAGUUUUAGGCUAUUUGGACUGAGGAAUGAUUUGGAGGUACGUCGGGGGCAUUCCCUCACUGAGGCCAUCAGUGGCUGCCUCCCUGCAUUGGCUGCUGGUUUGAGUUCCUUCACAGAACUUCUUCGUCAAGUUUUUCAUAGGAACGCUGCAGUGAAGUGGAGUGAAAGAGACUGGGGAUUGAAGGGUGAACCCCUUCCAGCCCCAAUCCCAUCCCGAUUCCUGUCUGGAUGCAGAUUCAGUCUGACUCAGAACGGAUAGUUCACCCUUUUACUGAUCCAAGUGCUCUGUCCUCUUUUUUUCAGAGGAAUGUUCUGACUGGCUACAAACUUUUCUUCUGUCACUGCAGGACCUCCCGUGGAGCAAUUUUCGAUAGGUCUUCUACUAUGCUUUUUUACCGCGUCAUUGUUAUUGCUGAGAAAAUAAUGCUUAGUUAGGAAAAAAAAUAGCAGAGCAUAUGAGCUGAUGAUAGAAGUAGAGAUCAAGGCACAGAAUACAAUAUCAAAACAACUAUUCUCUGUAAUCAAAUGACCUUUCUCAUUUGCUUGUACACCCAGAUUUCUGAAAUCCUACACCAAAGUCCACAGAGAACUAAGAUAGCAUGUGGCCUAUUCCCCGCGCUUUUCCAGUGGAGAAAGUAGCCCCAGAAAUCAGAAGGGUUUGUCCACAAGCAUAUGGCUGUCUGAUGUCAUCCAAACCAGAACUAAAGCCUAUUGCCCUAGUCGUUUCCCUUCUAUAACCUAGGCGUAUUUACAGAGUCUUCCUUCCUGUGGUGUUGUGUGGAUUAGAAAAGUAGCUAAGAAAAGCACAUACCUUAUUAAAAUUCACUGCAAUAGAUGAUAAGUCUGUAGAAUUAUAGUGCAGUAGAAGUUUACCUGUGAGAUCAUCUAUUAGAAUCCCAUCUUUUUAAAACUGAGGAAACGAUGCACUACCCCAAGCCACUAAGUUAAUUCAAAGCCAGGAAUAGAUGCUAUGUUCCUUGACUUCUUAUCCAACGUUCCUUCCUUGUAUGUAGCCCAUCUCUGAAUCAUGAGAGGGGAGAGGAGAGAAAGGAAAGGAGGGAUAUUCUCACUCUCUUACAUAUAUAUGAAAAAAUAUAUAUGCCUCUGUGUGUGUGUGUGUGUGUGUGUGUGUACACACACCCAUAAUAAUGUUUCAGUGAACAACAGACCACAUAUAUUACUGUGAUCCCAUAUAAUAUAAUACUGUAUUUUUGCUGUACAUUUUCUGUGUUUAGAUACACAAAUACUUACCAUUGUGUUACAUUUGCCCACAGUAUUUAGUACAGUAAUAUUCUGUACAGGUUUGCAGCCUAGAAGCAAUAGGCUACCCCAUAUAGCCUGAGUGUGCAGUAGCCUAUAUCAUCUAGAUUUGUGUAAGUGCACUCCAUGAUGUUUGCACAAAGUCGCCUACUGAUGUAUUUCUCAGAACACCUCCCCAUAAGCUAAUUGACGCAUGAUUGGAGAUAUAUAUAUAUAUAUAUAUAUAUACACACACACAUAUAAAUAUAUAUACAUAUGUAAAAUAGAUACAAUAAAUAUUUUAUACACAUUAAUAUUUUUGGUAUAUAAUAAUAUAUUACAAAUAUAAAAAUUUUAAUAUAUGAUAAUAAAGGAUUUCUAAAAACUAAACCCCCAUCCCUAAACUGUACAUCUGUUAAUAGAAUGGGACCUAUAUUCAAAUCCUAGGUGAAUGUCACAGGAAUUCUUCUCAUUUUCUUUCUCAAUUAGACCACUUUGUGAUCGUCUGAGAAACAAACCUUGACACACAGAAAGUCUGAACUUGAUCUAGCCUGAAAAUAGAGUCAGGCAAUUUUAAGAUACCCAUUUCCAGGGCCCAGGAGCCCUUGAAGAAAUCAAAAGGCCAUCCGAGCACUUGAUGAGAAUGCACAGGACAUACAUCUUUUAGUCUCACACAGUCUCCAGUAUCAGAAUCAUGCGGGCACUCAGCAAAUAUUUAUGGAGCAUGGUGAUGUGCCAGAUACAUUAGUAGCAACUGGAGAUACAAAUGUGACCAAGACAUAGUCCCCAUCCUCACAGAAUUCAUGACCUAGUGGGAAAGACUGACAUGCGAAGCUCUAACUACAACGAAUGCACAAAAAUAUCAGGAAGAAGAGGCUUACAAAGUGUGUGGAGUACAGAUGCUGAAGUGGUGGGAGGAGAGUGGGGUCUGAAAUCAUGUCUUUUUAAAAUUGCUGCACAUUUAUUUUCUAUGUGUAUUUAACAUACACUUUUCAUUUUCCCCUUUGCACACACAUGUAUUUUUUUCCAUUACCUGUUUUCCAACCAAAUAUAAA
rnacentral:lncRNA from 1 species